AGCGAACGCUGGCGGCAGGCCUAACACAUGCAAGUCGAACGGCAGCACAGUAAGAGCUUGCUCUUACGGGUGGCGAGUGGCGGACGGGUGAGGAAUACAUCGUAAUCUACUUUUUCGUGGGGGAUAACGUAGGGAAACUUACGCUAAUACCGCAUACGCCCUACGGGUGAAAGCAGGGGAUCUUCGGACCUUGCGCGUUUGAAUGAGCCGAUGUCGGAUUGGCUAGUUGGCGGGGUAAAGGCCCACCAAGGCGACGAUCCGUAGCUGGUCUGGGAGGAUGAUCAGGCACACAGGAGCUGAGACACGGGCCAGACUCCUAGGGGAGGCAGCAGUGGGGAAUAUAGGACAAAGGGCGCAAGCCUGAUCCAGCGAUACCGCGUGGGUGAAGAAGGCCUUCGGGUUGUAAAGCCCUUUUGUUGGGAAAGAAAAGCAGCAGGUUAAUACCCCGCUGUUCUGACGGUACCCAAAGAAUAAGCACCGGCUAACUUCGU
rnacentral:rRNA from 1 species